UCUCCGGUAUGUCUUCAUAGGAGUAUGAAAAUGGACUAAUACACAAAAUAAAUGUGUUUAAAGAAUACAAUAAAUUCAUGUUAAUUGAAACAAAUAUUUAUUAUGAUACCAAUUUAUAAAUCUUUCUUUUAUACCUCAUGGAUUGCACAGAAAGUUAGAUCAGAGUGUAAGAUGAAGGGGGGCAGUGGCCGUCAGUUGGAGACAGAUCUUCGGGUUGGGAUCCUCAUUUGUUUCUCCGGGUUUUCCAGCAUUAAAUACUUUUCCUUCCCCACUGCUUAUAUUUCCCUUUCAUGAGAACUACGUUCUUGAAUAACGACUUGAACAGGAAUAGUGUUCUGCACUUUAAAUUCGGGAAAUGACCAGUUUCCUGUGCCAGAGAAAAAUAUGUGCUUGAGAAUAUUAUCUAUACAAUGUACUUUGUACUUCCCGCUCAGCCUUUUCUUUCAUCGUGCUGUGUUGUUCAAGUGAUCUGAUACCAAUGUAAAUUCCUGACCAGCACAAUAUGAAGUAUUAUUAUAUUGGAGACAUAAUAGCCUACUGGCAUCUCUGUAUAAAUAUUUGUAUAAUAUUAAAAAUAAGCCAAUUUAACAGAGACAUUAAGAAAAAAGUUGACAAAUAUCUUCAUGUAACCUUCUGAACUGCAUUUAGAAAUCCAUUUUACUUCAUGUUUUUCACCAGCUGACACUGUGGAACAUACUUACGUAUGAAAUGAUACAAGAAAAAUUUGGAAUAUGUGAAAUAUCUUUAUUUCUUUGUUAUAAUUCGGAACCUCAUUAAAAGUUUAUUUUCAUCUGACAUUAAGUUUCUUUACAAAUAGGAUGACUUAUGAUACAUAAAUACAUUAUUAUUUAAAUUUUGUAAAUCAGUCUUAUAAAUCAUUUUCAUUUAAGUGUUCCAUUGGUGCCAUAAAGAAUUGAUAGCACCCGGAAAAAGCAGCUUCGAGAGGAAUAGUCUUCUUUUCUGAACCUGGAUUUUCUAUAGAGGUCUUGUCAGAUUAGCCUGUCAUUUUACUUCCAGCCUGUGUGCUUCUGGUCCAUGCCCUGAUCUUGUGACAUCUCAUUGAAAUUAAAGCUGUGGUCUGACCAAACUUCACAUGCAUUGCUCCUUUUUUAUUAAUACCUUAUGAUCUAAGUUCUUUCAAGGAUUGAGGAGAUAGGCAACAAUUCCUGCUAGCAUCUUAGAGUUUGAUCCUCAAUAAACUUUUUGUGUCUUCUACUCUUUGUGAAUCCCCAAAUUUCUGAAAUGGGUGGAAGAUAAAUAAAUGAAUAGAGAGAUUGACGUGUAUACCAAACGUCUGGGGGCUAGCCUGGGAUCCUGAGCAGAAAAGAUUCAAUACAUUAGUCUGUUGAAUUGGUUUACUGUUAAUAUAGGAGCAGAGAUGAGAAGACAGGGGCCUAACUUACUCUUUAGUUCUGUUCUCUCCAGUGUUAGUAAUAAUUAUAACUGCAUUAGAAGUAAUGGAACUAUGGCUGUGGAUGUAGUAAUAGUGGAGAGUGAUAACCGCCGCAGCAGCAGAAAUAUCAGGUAAUAUUUAUUAGGCUGUAUUUGUGUGCUAGCGCUUUGUAAACUGCCAACUAACAUUGCCUCCAUGUAAUUGUAAUUUUCUCCACUUUUCUGUGAGGCAUGUAUGAUUAUUAACCUGAUUUAAUGGAUGAGGAAACUGAGACUUAAGAGCAUUUGGCCUGUCAUAAAUACUCACCACAGAGCUAAACUCCACCCCCGGGAAACAUCCUAUAUCUGUAUGUGUUUGAGUGGGUAUUUCUAGGUGUGCUGGGGGAGGAAGGUGGUGGGUUAAUUUUGAAGGCUUCCAAACACCCCACUAUAAGCAUCAUACACUUCCUAAUCUUCAUUCUUUUUGAAACUGAUUUCUCCCUUGGGUUUGGUGUAUCCCUGACUAUUCAGGAAAGAGACAUCAAUCACCCAAAACAAUACAAGGAACACAAGAUCUUCAUGAACCAAAUGAUACUUGGAAUGAAUACACCAAUAAGAAUUUAUUGCCAAAAUGUUACUUCAUUAAAAAAAUUUUAAAAUAAAGAACAUGGAAUUAUUUCAAUCCUUGAGAAAACUAGCUGUAUACAUGCCUACCAGAGGUAUCUCUAGCAAAAUAUAUCACUUCUAAGAGUAAAUGCCUCACUUAAUUUUAGAUUCCUUGGGGAACUAAGAGUUAAGUAAAAUAUGCACCAAUUUUCUUAGAUUUAUUUUUAAGUAUUUUCUUUUUUAGCUUAUUAUUAUUAUUAUUUGCUCUGAUCAUGGGAGUGUACAUUUUCACUGAAACACAACUCUGGAAUUAUCAGUAUUAAAAAUUUAUGAGUUAAAAGGACCUUGACAAAACCUUGGGACUGUGGCUGGAAAUGGAAAUGGCUACAGAGAUUCCUAAGUCAAAAAAAA